GUGUUUCCUCCAGAGUGGAUCCUGAGUACGGCGGAACACGAGAAAUUCCGUCGGAAUCCGGGAGGACCAUCUCCCAAGGCUAAAUACUUCCUAGUGACCGAUAGUGAACCAGUACCGUGAGGGAAAGGUGAAAAGCACCCCGGAAGGGGAGUGAAAUAGAUCCUGAAACCGUGUGCCUACAAGUAGUCGGAGUCCGUUAAUGGAUGACGGCGUACCUUUUGUAGAAUGGACCGGCGAGUUACGAUCUCCUGCAAGGUUAAGCAGCAUAUGCGGAGCCGCAGCGAAAGCGAGUCUGAAUAGGGCGAAUGUAGUAGGGGGUCGUAGACCCGAAACCGUGUGA
rnacentral:rRNA from 1 species